UAGUUUUAUAAUAGUUUUGUUUGUGGAAACACCACGUAAAUUUAUUACUGCAAUAAUAAAUUUACGUGGUGUUUCCACAAACAAAACUAUUAUAUGUCUUAUAUGUUUUA